AGGUACUGUGCCAUCCGCGAGACGUGAAGCGGACCAUCGUUCUACGUCGCUUAUUUAUUACACGCUCUUCACACCUUUUUCAGUGCUGCCCCUCCACUGACCUACCCCCCCCCCGCGCCCUGACCUCAAACCCCACACUCUCCGGCAUCAUGUACAAGCGUAGUAGCGUGUUGCGUGAGGUUCAGAGUGGCAUCAGCGUCGGUCGGUUGCGCCUCGCCGAGCAGUUCAGCACGAUGGAGGGCUGGCAGCGCCUUCAGGACCCGCGCUUCGAUCAGUACGUGAAGGAGAAGCGGCGGAAGCAGGGCUUUGAUGCGUUCGACCAGCGCGUGGAGCGCGCCUUUCGCGUUGCGGCGAAGUUGCACAAGGCGGAGGUCGUGAAUGCCUUCAAGCGCAAGGUGAAGGGCAGCAGCGAAGGCAAGUGGACGGCCGCCGUCACGUUGGAGGUGAAGUCAGCCGUGGAGGCGCGGUUGCGCUGGCUGAGAGACGUGUGGUCGCAGAUCGACGCAGACUACCGUAGCAGCAAUACAGAGAGGCAGGCGAAGGCGUCACGUGAGAUAUCUGACGCGCUGCGUGGCGAGCCCGGAGCGUACAUGCAGUGGGUCUACGAGCGCAAGCGCGAGGAUCGGUUUGCCGGUCCGAAGGAGAAGGCCGCGCGCGAGGCAGAGCUGAGCGUCGCGGAGCUGCCCGAGGUUACAGACGACGAAGCGAACCGCUACCACAGCCUUUCCUUACGCAUGGCUGAUAUUGAGCACAACGUGAAGAGCCGUUUUGGCGUUGCUGGUCAGCAACACUGGGCGGAGCUGCAGGCCGCCAAAGACGAGGCGUACGGGCAAAAGCUGGACACGGCGGCCAAGCUGUAUGAGAAGCUGCUGGACCAGAGUGCGCGGUUUGACGAGAGCCGGCGGACGGCGCUGUUGCGGAGUAACGUAGAACGGGUACACCAAGCACAGGUCCGAUUCAAGGCGUCGAUGGAGAUGGAGAAGGAGCGCGAGCGUCUUGUCGAGGCGCACGAGGCCAUGCGAGAGGAGCGCAAGCAGCAGGCCAAGGCGGAGCGCAUCGCCAUCCUCCAAGAGGCGGCCGAGCUGCGCCGCAGUGGGGCCACAGCAGAGGAGGUCAACCGGCUCGCUCGGCAGCGGCAACUGGAAGCACAUGCACGUCGACAGGCGGAAUACCAGCUGCAGGAGCGCGAGCUGCUUCAGCAGAAGAAGGCACACUAUCUUGACUUGAUCGAGAAGUUUAAGGAUGAGGUGGAGCUGCGGGAGGGGCAGGAGAUGCUCCAGAAACAGGAGUCUGGCCGACGCUCGCAGCGCAGCCACGACGACGUCGAGUCGAGUGGCGCGCCGAAGCUUAACGCGUUCGGCUUCAUGGACGCGGACCGGCUUGAUGACCCUGCCGCGUCGCAGCUAGCUGCAAGCGGUGUCACGGGGCACUCGGCCACCCUCCAAGAGAGCUUGGCUGACCGGGCCGCCGCAGCCUCCGCCUCCGCACCGAGCUUGUCUGCAGCACAGCGAUCUCGCAAGAAGGCACUGUGGGACGUUAUUGAGAAAGACCGGUAUGAGGACCCGUUCAUGACGAUCCACCAAGCUCGCCUCGACGCCGCUGCGACGUAUGACCCGCUGUAUGCGAAGCACCUCGCCCCGACCUUGGCACAAGGCAAGAAGUACACGAAGCAGGGCUUGGGCGAGCUCGCGGCUGGUGGCGAUAUGGACCGGCACGUGUUCAAGGCCGCGGCGCGGACAAUGCGCCCGUACCAGUGGGGCCUUUCCUCCAGCGUUGUGCAUGAUGUGGACGGCGACGGCAGCAACGACUACUUCGUAGGCCUCAACUGGCACGUGCAGAACCCCGAGACGGGCGACAUUGAUUGGCGGUACGAGAAGAAGGCGGGCGGCGCCGUCUUUCGCGGUCCGCUGCUGUAUCGCAUGGGCGCCGAACGCGAAGCCGGCGAGCCCGGAAGCGCCACAGUGGACCCGUCAACGGUGACGGUGCGGCGCUUCUCGCCGCUAGCGACGACGUCAUCGAGGUCUGCCUCAAAGGCGGCACUUCCAUCGCCAGCCCGGCAAGCUGGUGUCACAGCCUCGCCUCCGGCGGCGCGCCGCAGUCGUGCAGACGAAUCGAUGAACCGACGCGUCACCCAUAGCACAAGCGUUGUCGCAGCAUCGUCCCUUCCGAGCUGGCGGAGCAGCUAAGUGGCGUCCGUGUGCAUGCAUAUGGGAGGCUGGGUGCUGUUCAAGUCUUUCCCCUUUCCGUUCUUUUUCGCUGCUGUUGGGCCUGUUCACAGUGUGGUCACGUAUAACUAUCCUCAGCACCUUCGACGCAUUCACGCGCGCGUCCCAUCCUCGUCACCAGGCCGCCACGAUAUAGUGCCCACUGGUAACGCUUUAAGUCGUGUCGUUCGCUUCGUUGCCGUCGUUCGCGAGUAAGUUGUGUUUAGUUGGUUCACAGAGUCUUCUCUCUGCGCUUGGCGCGUGCGUGUGUGUGUGUGUGUGUGUGUGUGUGUGUGUGUGUCGUGCCGAGUUGACGGUAUUCGGCACCGGCGUGCCCGCGCAUCGCGUGCGAGCAAUGCGAGAUAGGGAGAGAGGCGGAGGAGGACGUGAGGUGGGGCAUUCGGCCACGCACACGCAUCGGUCUCUGAUUAUACGCAGCCACAUGGAGACACACACACACACAAACACACACACAGGCACAGGCACAGGGAAAAGGAGAGAAACGGCAGAAAAAAGCACAAGCAAAGUAAUACAUGCCCAGACGGGCAUGCACACCGCCCACCGUACCAACAUCGGGGGGUGGGGGGCGGCCUGCUUUGCGCCCCCCACCUCCUCGCCAUACCUUCUGAUCUCUGAACUUCUAUAAGGGCAGGGGAAGGGGGGCAGUGGGCGAGAAGUGGUGGUGCGCAGUGGGCCUCUUCACCUCCGACCCCUACGUUCUCAUCCCGAUUCGCAUCCGCUGAAGCACUUGGAUGCCGUGAGUCGACCGCCUUCUCUUCUCCUCCUUCUGUCGCUCUGUUGAUCACGCGUCUCUGCGCAUAUGGUGGCCAACGCCUUUUCCUUUCU
rnacentral:misc_RNA from 1 species